GGAUAUGACAGAAAUGUUGUGUUAUUUUCACUGCACUGAGUGACAGGAUGUCUGGUCUCCCUGGCUAGGUGGGUAUCCCCUUUCUCCCUCACUACCCAACAUAUAAUUGACCAACAGGCUGACCUUUCCAUAUGGUGAAAAGUGCUAUUUGGUUGUGGAAAUGAAAGUUGCUGUCCUCUCAUGGCAGAAUUUUCAAACAAGCUUGUAGAGAACAUAAAGAGCAGCUUAAAUAUCCUACAAUCACAGCAUAUGGGAUUUUCACACUGUGAUAUCAUAAGUA
rnacentral:snRNA from 1 species